AUGGGAAAGGGGUACAGCGACAGCGAUGCAAGAUGGCAGCCACUACGGGCUCGGACAAUUUCUGAAAACCGAAUAUACAGCCUUAAAAUAGAAUGUGGACCUAAAUACCCAGAAGCACCCCCCUUUGUAAGAUUUGUAACAAAAAUUAAUAUGAAUGGAGUUAAUAGUUCUAAUGGAGUGGUGGACCCAAGAGCCAUAUCAGUGCUAGCAAAAUGGCAGAAUUCAUAUAGCAUCAAAGUUGUCCUGCAAGAGCUCCGGCGCCUAAUGAUGUCUAAAGAAAACAUGAAACUCCCUCAGCCGCCUGAAGGACAGUGUUACAGCAAUUAAUCAAAAAGAGAAACCACAGGCCCUCCCCCCUCCCCCCCAUUCGAUU